CAGCCUUAGGCCUAAGCACCACCCUAUCCACAUUGGCGGGACAGCAGUGGAGAAUGUGGAAAGUUUUAAGUUCCUCGUCGUACACAUCACGGUCGAGGGAAGGCAGUAAAGGCAACGGAUGAAGUGAGGACAAUGUAGUGGCCUACUACCUGUCUGAGUUCGAAGUACCGAUUGGUCAAGAUUCUGCAGCGAAACUCUUGGCUCCAUGGAUCCGCUGGAGCGAAGUCAGCAAGGGAGGAUGGGCAUGGGGAUGGGCCGCCGGCCAACCAGCUCAUCAACAAUGUAAUGUCUGUAGGUACAGUACAGGGAUGUGACAUGUUCCCUAUACUACCUCAGUAUCUCCAUCCCUAUCUAUUAAAGCAUAUGUUAUUUUGA